rnacentral:rRNA from 1 species
GCGUAGGCGGAUUUGAAGGCGCUUUGUGAAAUCCCUCGGCUCAACCGAGGAACUGCUUGGCGAACCACAAAUCUUGAGGCUGGUAGAGGUGGUCGGAACAAUAGGUGGAGCGGUGAAAUGCGUAGAUAUCUAUUGGAACACCGAAGGUGAAGACAGGCCACUGGGCCAGUCCUGACGCUGAGGCACGAAAGCGUGGGUAGCAAACGGGAUUAGAUACCCCGGUAGUCCACGCCGUAAACGAUGCGCACUUGGUCGAGGGGGUUGAACGCCUUCUCGGCCGUAGGAAAACUGAUUAGUGCGCCGCCUGGGGAGUACGGUCGCAAGAUUAAAACUCAAAGGAAUUGACGGGGGCUCACACAAGCGGUGGAGCAUGUGGCUUAAUUCGAAGCAACGCGAAGAACCUUAUCCUAGGCUUGACAUGCACGGAUUAACCUCCUGAAAGGGAGGCAACACUCGCAAGAGUGGAACGUGCACAGGUGCUGCAUGGCUGUCGUCAGCUCGUGCUGUGAAGUGUCGGGUUAAGUCCCUCAACGAGCGCAACCCCUGUCACUAGUUGCAAACAGGUAAUGCUGUGGACUCUAGUGAGACUGCCGGUGUCAAACCGGAGGAAGGUGGGGAUGACGUCAAGUCCUCAUGGCCCUUAUGCCUAGGGCUGCACACGUGCUACAAUGGCACCGACAGAACGAUCCGAGACCGCAAGGUGGAGGAAAUCGCUCAAAAGGUGCCCCAGUUCGGAUUGGAGGCUGCAACUCGCCUCCAUGAAGUUGGAAUCGCUAGUAAUCGCGGAUCAGCUACGCCGCGGUGAAUAUGUUCCUGAGCCUUGUACACACCGCCCGUCAAGUCAUGGAAGCCGGUAGCGCCCGAAGUCGCCUCAUUUCAGGGGUGCCCACGGCGAGGGUGGUGACUGUCACUAAGUAGUAA